rnacentral:lncRNA from 13 species
AUGUAGAAAAAUGGUGACUUUUUAGUUUGGAAAAUUUUCUGAGGGACAGAAUCAAUGACGCUGGGAUGUACACACAUUUAUCUGUUGAUUUGAAACAUUUUUCUAGUAGACACACAAGAAAUGUUAAUUUUGUAACAGCUAACACCUUCUGUAUCAAUUAAAUCAACAGAGAAAUGUGUACGAUUUCAAUGGAAUAUUCGAACAACAAAAUUUUCACCAAUAAAAGAGCUCAAUCAAAAUGGAAAAAGAGUAUGACUGAUAAGUCGAACGGUACCAAUUAAAGAUUGAUUAAAGAAUAACGAGAGACAACUGCGAGAAAUAUAUUAUACAUAAAAAUCACAAAAAAUUGCAAAACAAUGAAGGAUCCGAUCUGGACGAGACAGUCGAACACAAAGGACACAACGUUGGUGCCGAAACGGCCGACGCUAAUUUUACUCUAGAACGAUAGAGACGAUCGUUACGGGGAUCCUAGACGAUAGCUCAAUGUGUUCUACAAAUAUCUAUUUGGUAAACCUUAAGUAUUAAAGACGGCACCUCGGAAAGACACCGCCUCGAGACUCGAUCACCUUGGCAUCAAGGAAAUGCUGGCGACAUUACUUUUGCCGACCGAAUUAACCUACGUGUGCCUGCGAUAUUGAUGUAGUAGUAAACAUCAAUACAUCUGUACAAAUUACUGCAUCAAUAAUGCACACACAUACGCGCACACAAAUUUUCAGACACAAUGUUUUUUGUACUACAGUUUUUAAAAACACAGUAUAACAAAUGUUGUCACGAGUUGAUCGUAGAAGCCGAUAACAAAAUUAUAAUUUUCUAAUUUUUUCAUAUUUUUUUAAUACUAAAUUUUACACACCAUCCUGCGUUAUCAUCUAUACUUUAAUUUCUACAAACAAAAAAGAUUUAUAUAAUUCUGUGUAAUAAAAAAAAUGUACGUUUAUAUCUGAAAAUAGUGUUUAAUAUUGUAGAUCCAGCUAGCAUUCCUUUAAUCAUCGAUAGAGAAAUUCGGCAAUUAAAUGGAGGUCCUUCGAUAAAAACGGGGAAAAAAGACUAAUAACGCCAGAGCGGUCAAGACUGAUAAGUUUGCAGGUACAAAUUGAUAACAACGUGAUGCGCGCAUCAAUUGACAUUGCGAUUAAUUAAUAAUCCGUCUACGAACGUGUUCGUCGUAAUGUGAAGAACUCUUUUUUGUUGUGUCCUGUAGUUCUUAUCGAGAAAUUGGAUGCAAUAGUAACUUAAUCAGCUUCGUGGAAAAAA